rnacentral:rRNA from 1 species
UAAAUUUAUAAUUUUUUUUUUUUGUUUUUUUUAAUUUAUAAUUAAUUUUUUUUUUUGUUAUUUGGCUUAGUUAUUAUGAAGUGCUUAUUUUUAUUAUAGUUUAUUUUUAAUGUAAAUGGUUUAUUUUUAUAUUAUAAAAGAAUUUUUUUUUUAUUUUACCUUUUGUAUCAGGGUGGAUUUAAUAAUUUUUUUUUAUAAAAUUUUUCUCCGAAUUAUAAGGAUUUAAUUUAGUAUGAUUUUUUAUGUUUCAUAAAAAAUAUUUAAUACUAUGUUAGUAGUGAAAUUCUAUUCGUUUUUUAAGAUAUCUAGUUUUCUGAGAUUAAAUUUAAUUUUAAUAAGAUUUUUAAUUCGGUUUUUUUUUACUUAAUUAUUGGUUUUAAUUUAUUUUUUAGGGGUUAAGCUCUAAUUUUUUUUCUAUAAUUUUGUUUUUUUUUAUAUAUUAUAUAUUUUUAGGCUUGAAAUCAGCCAUUGUUUAAAUUAAGUUUUAUUUUAUUUUAUUAUUUAAUUAUUUUAUAUAAACUUAAAUUUAGGUUUUUUAUUGGAAUUUAAAUUAUAAUUUUUUAUGUUUAUUAAUAAUGAUUUAAUUAGUAUAUUAUUUAGUUUUUUAUAAUUUUAUUUUUAUUUUAUUUUAAGGAAUUCGGCAAAUUUUUAAUUUUUCCGCCUGUUUAUCAAAAACAUCUCCUAUAGUUAAAUAAUAGGUAGGGCCUGCUCACUGAUUAUUUAAAGAGCCGCGGUAUUUUGACUGUGCAAAGGUAGCAUAAUCAUUAGUAUAUUAAUUGUAUACUGGAAUGAAAGGUUUGACGAGAAAAAUACUGUCUCUAUUUAAUUUAUAUAAUUUUACUUUCUAGUGAAAAGGCUGGAAUUUUUUUUUAGGACGAUAAGACCCUAUAGAGUUUUAUUUUUUUAUUUGCUAUAUAAUUUGUUUUAUUUUUUUUUUAUUUAGUAUAUAUUUAAUUUUGUUGGGGUGAUGUGAAUAAUAGUUAAACUAUUCAUUAAUUUUUUUUCAUUGAUUUAUGUUGUUUUUGAUCCUUUAUUAUUGAUUUUAAGAUUAAAUUACCUUAGGGAUAACAGCGCAAUUAUUUUUGAGAGUUCUUAUUGAUAAAAUAGAUUGUGACCUCGAUGUUGGAUUAAGGUUAUUAUUUGGGUGAAGAUGCUUAAAUUAUUGGUCUGUUCGACCAUUAAAAUCUUACAUGAUCUGAGUUCAGACCGGCGUGAGCCAGGUUGGUUUCUAUCCAAAACUUUUUUAUAUUUUCUAGUACGAAAGGACCGUUAAUUUUAAUUAUUUUAUUAUUUUUGUUUAUUAUU